UACGUAGGGUGCGAGCGUUGUCCGGAAUUAUUGGGCGUAAAGAGCUUGUAGGCGGUUUGUCGCGUCUGCCGUGAAAAUUCGAGGCUCAACCUCGAACUUGCGGUGGGUACGGGCAGACUAGAGUGUGGUAGGGGAGACUGGAAUUCCUGGUGUAGCGGUGAAAUGCGCAGAUAUCAGGAGGAACACCGGUGGCGAAGGCGGCUCUCUGGACCAUUACUGACGCUGAGACGCGAAAGCUAGGGGAGCAAACAGG
rnacentral:rRNA from 1 species